UUCCAAACAUCUACUAAUCUGCUACUUGGUACAUGGGACGAUUCCUGAUCCUAAGUGUCAAGGACCAGUGUGGGAACAGCUCCAUGCAGAACAUAGUGCUGUCAGGAGAUGGAUGAGAAGGAAUCACCAGCGAGGUCCAACACUGUUGUGGAUGAGACUUGAUAAGCUACUGACUCAGCCAAAACUGCAUCAACUGGGUGAAGGCCGGUUCCUGAUGAAUUCUGAGCGGCCAUUUAUUACAAGGGAUUCACCGCCUGGGCCAAGCUUGGCUGCAGACGUCCUAUUCACAGAACACGGAAAUCUGAGGAAUUCUGCAUUUCCAUCUCAGACUCCAUCCUGAAUAUCCCACCUGUGCUCAGGAAUCAAGAUCUGUACCUGAGCUGAACAGACUAUCUUCUGUAUGCGAAAUAACCCUAUAUUUUUCUGUUGAUGACCCUUUCACACACUGACAGAAGUGUUGUGUAUGUUAUAAGAGUGGCUGCAUUUCAAAGUAUCUGUUUGUUGUGACUCCUUUCAAGCUUGUAAAAGGAACCAGGUUAUUGCAAAUUCUUUUAUGCUGCUUGCAGCAAACUCUACACUUCCACUAAUUUUUUCCGUAUUCAUCAUGGAUAAGUUACAAUUACUCCAGCUAAAACUGGAAAAGAUCAAAUACAGAACAUCAUCUUCACUGUCCACCAUCUACAAUCUAUGACUACGUAACCUCUCCAUUAACUAUUAAUGUCACAUUUCAGGAAGCUCUAGACUAUGCAAGAUCAUCUACAACCUCAGUAUCGUUUCUGACCCUAAACUUAAUUUCUGAUGCCAUAUCCUUUCUCUUACAAAGUCUGUUUACUUAUCUGAAUCUAGUCCUGCCCCAAAUUCAAGUUUAAUCAUCAUUCAACCGUACAUGAAUACCCACGAAUACAGCCAAACUAAACCGCAUUCCUCCGAGGCCAAGGUGCAAAAAUAGUGCCAAUAGUCACACACAGCACAAGGCACAUAGAGCUCAUAUAGAUAGCAGUAAACAUACAGUCACACAAAAAAUAUAUAUAUAACCCAAGUCCCUAAGUGAAAUGUCCUCUAAGUUGAUGGUGCAUGGGUACUGUCGGUAAGAACAAGCCGUUCUCAGCGAUCCACGGGCGAACACUGGAGGACAGCACCAAAGGGAGAGGCCAGACCCUAAUCCAGCAUGGAUGCUGUGCCACACCACCUCUGAUGUCUCGCCUCCUGGACUGCUACGACAGGCAAGUCCGUGGCAUGAGGCCUAGUCCUUGCUUCAACCAAGGCCACACAGCUCCCCUGCAGUCAGUCUUGUCAAUAAACCAGUGAACCUGACUAGCAGUAGUUUACAUUAACAAUAUCCAACAGGGUCUUUUGAUUGCAAGAAAAAUGUCCAUGACAGUUAGACGGCACGCCACCUUUGCACAUUGACCCUGAUGCCUUUCUGUCGCAGGCAGAAACACGAUCUGCACCAAGUCUAGCUCCUCCAGCUCCUCUGCCGAUAAGCAAAUCGCUGAUGAGGUAGACUUGCGGUAAUUGAAGUUCUUAAUGUCCAUCAUUGUUUUACAAAAAAACACAUUUAAAAAACAAAACACCUUUGGUUGGCCCCAGAGAGGCUGAUGUGUCCAAGCAUGCUGCCAUUUAACCAGAAGAUAAGCUAUGGUAACAUUGUCAGCCAUGCAAUUAUUAGUUUCUGGUUCUAAAUUUUAAUAAUCACCUGUCUACAAACCUAGAUAAUCAGCAUUAUUGACUGUCAUCUUGGGUGCUAUGUUCUUCAGGAAUCCUUUCAUUGUUUCUUCUAUCUCUUUCCCUCUAAAAUUACCUUUCAUAACCUUUCUCGCUGAAAACGAAAAUAUUUCAAAAACAUUAUUGAAUUCAGUACUAUUUCAACUAAUAUUUAUAGCUUUUUUUUAAAGUCAGUAACUUGUCCAACUUGAAUUUAAAACUAGUUUACGCCUGCACUGUUAUCAAAACUAUGUCUAAAUCACAAAUAAAAUGUUUUAGCAGAGUUUUACUCUACUACACCAUCAAAACUGUACUGACAUCUUAUGUUUGUUCAUAAAUUUAUGAUUAAAACUUUUGAGUGAAGUAUUUUACGAGAUAUUUUCAUGAAUCCCAGUAUAUUUUGAAUGGCAUUUUCAAAGCAUUGUUAUACAGCCGUCCCUAGGGGAAGAAGUUGUCCAACAACUAAAAACACGUAACCUCAUAUACCAUGG